rnacentral:rRNA from 1 species
UACGUAGGGCGCAAGCGUUAUCCGGAAUUAUUGGGCGUAAAGAGCUCGUAGGCGGUUUGUCGCGUCUGCCGUGAAAGUCCGGGGCUCAACUCCGGAUCUGCGGUGGGUACGGGCAGACUAGAGUGAUGUAGGGGAGACUGGAAUUCCUGGUGUAGCGGUGAAAUGCGCAGAUAUCAGGAGGAACACCGAUGGCGAAGGCAGGUCUCUGGGCAUUAACUGACGCUGAGGCGCGAAAGCUAGGGUAGCAAACGGG